UAAGGAAUAUUGGUCAAUGGGCGCAAGCCUGAACCAGCCAUGCCGCGUGCAGGAAGACGGCCUUAUGGGUUGUAAACUGCUUUUAUUUAGGAAUAAUACCCUGUACGUGUACAGGGAUGAAGGUACUAUUUGAAUAAGCACCGGCUAACUCCGUGCCAGCAGCCGCGGUAAUACGGAGGGUGCAAGCGUUAUCCGGAUUUAUUGGGUUUAAAGGGUGCGCAGGCGGAUCUGUCAGUCAGUGGUGAAAACCCGGGGCUCAACUCCGGAACUGCCAUUGAUACUGCAGGUCUUGAAUUCGGUUGAAGUGGGCGGAAUGUGUCAUGUAGCGGUGAAAUGCAUAGAUAUGACACAGAACACCGAUCGCGAAGGCAGCUCACUAAGCCGACAUUGACGCUCAUGCACGAAAGCGUGGGGAGCGAACAGG
rnacentral:rRNA from 1 species